rnacentral:rRNA from 1 species
GACGAACGCUGGCGGCGUGCUUAACACAUGCAAGUCGAACGGAAAGGCCCUGCUUGCAGGGUACUCGAGUGGCGAACGGGUGAGUAACACGUGGGUGAUCUGCCCUGCACUUCGGGAUAAGCCUGGGAAACUGGGGCUAAUACCGGGUAGGAGCCAUUUUUAGUGUGAUGGGUGGAAAGUUUUUUCGGUGUAGGAUGAGCCCGCGGCCUAUCAGCUUGUUGGUGGGGUUAUGGCCUACCAAGGCGGCGUCGGGUAGCCGGCCUGGGAGGGUGGACGGCCACAUUGGGGCUGAGAUUCGGCCCAGACUCCCACGGGAGGCAGCAGGGGGGAAUAUUGCACAAUGGGCGCAAGCCUGAUGCAGCGACGCCGCGUGGGGGAUGACGGCCUUCGGGUUGUAAACUCCUUUCGCUAGGGACGAAGCUUUUUGUGACGGUACCUAGAUAAGAAGCACCGGCUAACUACGUG